UGGGGAAUUUUGGACAAUGGGGGCAACCCUGAUCCAGCCAUGCCGCGUGAGUGAAGAAGGCCUUCGGGUUGUAAAGCUCUUUCAGGUGGGAAGAAAUCUCACGGGAUAAUACCCCGUGGGGAUGACGGUACCACCAGAAGAAGCACCGGCUAACUACGUGCCAGCAGCCGCGGUAAUACGUAGGGUGCGAGCGUUAAUCGGAAUUACUGGGCGUAAAGCGUGCGCAGGGCGGGUUGGGUCAAGUCAGAUGUGAAAGCCCCGGGCUCAACCCGGGAACUGCGUUUGAAACUGGCCGGCUAGAGUUUGGCAGAGGGGGGUAGAAUUCCACGUGUAGCAGUGAAAUGCGUAGAGAUGUGGAGGAAUACCGAUGGCGAAGGCAGCCCCCUGGGCUAAAACUGACGCUCAUGCACGAAAGCGUGGGGAGCAAACAGGAUUAGAUACCCUGGUAGUCCACGCCCUAAACGAUGUCAACUGGAGUUGGGCGGGUAACCGCUUAGUCUCGAAGCUAACGCGAGAAGUUGACCGCCUGGGGAGUAC
rnacentral:rRNA from 1 species